GCUGCAGAGAGGAACGUAGGGUCUCACCAGGAGGCUAACGAUCAUCUGCAGUUCUCAAUGGGAGCAACUAUUUGAAUUCCUCCCAAGUCACUUAAAAUUAGUCUUCUGGAAAUAAUCUAUUCCUAGCUUGGAGACUGUCUGUAUAUCAGAUUUGAUAGCACAAACAAGAGUCAAAUGAGAUAUUUAACUGCAAAUAUGAUUUUCUCCAAGGGGGAAAAACGCUUUUUUAAAAAAAGCAUUUUUUUCUACGGAUUUCUAUAAAAAGUAGUAUCACAGAGAAAAAUCAGCUGAAGAAAAGUGUUGAGGAAAAGAAUACUUACCAUUCAUGGUGAUUGUCUACAAAAGCAGACAUGGGACUUAUUUGUACUGUGUAUGUGUCAUUGGCUGAAUAUUCAAAUAAGCCGUAAUAAAUGUGACGUACAGCUUAUUUCUCUGCAGGUCUUUUCUGGAAUAGCCCAUAAUCUGAUUAAAAGCAUCUUCGAGCAAGUGAUCUCUUCUGAUAAUUAACCUGCCAUAAGGAGACAAUUUGAAAAACAUAGAUUAUUUCCUAAUUCUUAUCUUUCCAGAACCGGAUAUUUGUCAUUUAACUUCCAUUUACCACAAGUAACUCGGCAAAAAGUGGAGUGACUUGCUGUCAUUGCUAUCUGCAAUAAAGCACCCGUCUGUCUUUAACUCUCAAUAGCAUUAAACAAAAGUUACAUCAGAGAGUCCUUGGUAAACAGAGUACUCCACCUAAGACCUGUCGAAACAAUGCAAGUGUCCUUUCUGAAUGAUCAUAUCAAUUUAUCCCAGAAGGAAAAUGAUUAUAAAACAACACAUACACAAAAGUUGUUUAGUAAAGGAAGAGCAAUCCUAUGAGGUAAUGGCUUAAACCUGAAUGCACCUAGACCAGGAAUUCAAUUCCUAGGUGCCUAGAGAGAUGACUAUGAGAACAAGAAGCACAGGAACACACAAAUUCUCAGUGUCCUCCAAAGCAGAGGAGUUUACUACUAUGCUUAAUUUAGUUUUAAAAUUAAGAGCAUCUUGGAGUCCCUAGGGUACAAAUGAAUCAUAUUGAGGUUGAUUAAUCUACUUGUGACAAUGACAAUUAAAGUCAUCCUUAAACAUGUAUCAAUUUGCCCUUAAAGCAAUAGUAAUGGAAAGGGAGAUGCUAGGGAGUCCGAAGGCAUGAAAGCCUGAUCAGCAAGACCUUGCAUAAGUGAAACUCAGAGAGGUAUGGUGUUUGGGGCACAUUGAUGUUUUUUGCUGGUGAUGAAAG
rnacentral:lncRNA from 9 species